CUACAUCUCUGCAUGAACAAUUAAUGGUGUAGCAUUGCUAAGAAACAAACCAGGACAUUUUAUUUUCUUGUUAAGUUUGCUAUAUAAUGCGUUGUACUGCAUGCUGGUCGUUGUGCUGUAUUGAAGAUGUGUAUUUGGGCAGGCUGUUCUGCUUUUACAAAGGGUAAUUGAUUUUUUAAAAAAUAGUGAAGCCUAAUCAGCUGCAGCAUGCACACCAUAACACAGCAGACCACGGGUUCCUGUGUGACAGCUGUUGAAGGCUUUAAAAAUAAUUUACUUAGCUAAAAAACAAACAAAUUGUGCUUGCUUUAAGGAAAUGCUAGCAUUAGAUUUUCUUCCUAUAUUUUGAUGUUGCUGUAACACAAAAUUACCGACACUAUCUAUAAGAUCUAGGUUAAAAACAUUUGACGUUGGUUGUAAUAAAUAUUUUCUUAUGUGAAAAGGGAGUGCCAUUUGUAAAUAGCUUAGGAAUUGCAAACCCCCAGAUUAGUCACAUUAUGAGAGAGAGAUAUGAUGCUUCUUCAAGUCUGUGCUAGGAGAUGGAACAGUCACUGCAUGCAGUAAUGGUUCAUGCCUGCAGGUUGAUGCUCAACCCCUGAACCACACCGGCUGGGCCAAAAUUGGACAACUCAUUAUACAAGUGGUGAGCCCAGAGUGCACAGACCCACGGUUCCUAACCCAUCUAGACUGACUGCAGAGAGGGCUGAGCAGUUUGCGAGGUGAGGGUCCUGAGAAGCUGAAGAUCUACAUUCACAUUGAGCAUUGCCUGCACCUGCUAUGGUUUUAUGUAAAUGUAUAUGGAUGUUUUUGUAAUUAAUAAGCUUCACAGUCAAAAGUUAACUAAAUAUUAGUGCCUACGACGUUUGCAUUUUCUCAGGGAACAGAUACUAAAAGGAAAAGGGUCCAUAUAUUGGAAUAAAUAAGAAAUGAUAGCCUAGGUAAUUAGCAUCCCACAUAGCUAGCAUAUAUUUGAAUUGACAAAUUGCUAGCUACCUUUUUUAGGAGAAGGGAGAAAGGGAGAGAGGGAAAAAGUAUAAAAAUAUUUAUGCUGUGGCCUAUAUUUUAACAAUGCUGUAUAAUCGGGAUUGUUGUGAAGUAAUAAAGAUUGUAUGUUGUCCCUCCCCCAAUAUAAGGAUAUAUGAAACACGUCAAGAACCUAUGCUAUUUUUGCAUGUGUAUUUUAACUCUUUUUCUUAUUUUGGAUUCCUCUUAAGUGAAGAGAAAAAGGGCGUAUGAUAAUAAUGCGUGGUUGCAGAAAGCAAAAGGAGAAGCCUGGAAGAAUAAGGAGAAAAUAAAAAAAUAGGGAUGGGAGAUGAAGAGGGAAGGAAAUAAAGGAUAUUCAGUGGAAGAGGAUGUAGGACGAAGGUGUCUUUUAUUUGCUCUUAUGUUGAAUGUGCUUUCCUCCAUAUCUCUGUGGUGAACUAAGUAGUCUUGGGAAGAGUCAGAUUUUAUAGAAGGGUCUCCAUUGUACUCUCCCCUCCCCAUCCAGCUUUAAGGGUAGGGCAUUUACUGAUAACUAUUUUUACCUUUUCCAGCCCCCCACUCUGCCUCUGUUGGCUUUGUUUCUUAGUUUGUAGGGUAAUGUAUUUGAGUUGUAUGUAGUUUUCCUGAGUGGUGAGAUGACAGUGGCUGAUUAUGUUGUCUUCCCUCCUUAUGCUUUAUUUUUUUAAAAAUUUAAUUUUUAGUAAUCUUUUUAUUGAAUACAUAUGGGAAAGUACACAGAUAAUGUAAAUCAUUAUGAGAUCCAACUUAUUGAUUUUUUUUUUUUUAGUAGUUUAUAUUCUGUGUGUAUCUAAGAAAUCUUUGCCAAGCCCAAGGUCACUAAGGUUUUCUGCUAGGUUUACUUACAGGAGUUUUUGGCUCUUAAUAUUUAUGUACGUGAUUCAUUUUGGGUUUAGUAUUAAGGUAAAGAUUGUGAUUAUUUCCACAAAUGA